AGGACAUAAAGAAGUGACGAAGAUCCAAAUAUGUCAUUUUCCCAAGUUCAGUCACCUAGUAGAGAAGUUCUCAGCAGUGCAGAUCUGGUGUCCAGAUGCAAAGGAGGACAAGGCUCUGAUGGCUUGAUGGAAUUCAACUGCUAAUAUCAGUGUUGCAGCUUCCAUAUAAUUCCAUCACUAGGAAGUUGCCUUAUACCAGAGCAAUCGUUGGAAACCUUGAUAGAAUUCAUGUCCUGCCGUGUUUCCCUAAUUCAAUACAAAAUGAAGAUCUGAGACUCAGUUGUAAAGACCGACGGAAACGUCCAGUUGGUUAGGGACCGAGAAGCAUCUCUCGGCUUGCAAGUUUAAAUGAUCCCAGAUGAGCUUGUGCCUACAGUCUCCGUCCUGCUGUUUUUCAACUAAUCAUUUGCAAAAUUGAAAAAAAGAAAGAAAGAAAAAGCAGGAAGACUUCUGUUUCCAGAGGAAUAGGUGUGUUAGCCUGCUGCACCGAAAGCAACAAAGAAUCUUGUGGCACCAUAAAGACUAACCAUAAAUAAUAAAGAUUUAUUAUUGCAUAGUCUUUCAUGGAACUAGAAUUUAUUUCAUCACAUCUAUGAAGGAUAAUACUUUUGCUAAUCACAAUAUUGAGAAUGAACUGGACUGGAAUUUCUUUUGUGCAUAUGUUUACGAAAAGUGGUCAAGUUAGUGUCAUAUACUGUAUGCGUAUACAUGUUAAAGGGUUUUUUAUAUGUACAUGUUAUAGUUGUGUGUAUGUAAAACUAUGAUAUAACUUUUAUACCAGAGUAAUGCCCAUUUUAGAUUUUGAAAUAAUCUCUGUAGAAAAUGAUAUUAGUAAUAUAAU